UUGACGGGGGCCCGCACAAGCGGUGGAGCAUGUGGUUUAAUUCGAUGCAACGCGAAGAACCUUACCUACUCUUGACAUCCUAAGAAGAACUCAGAGAUGAGUUUGUGCCUUCGGGAACUUAGAGACAGGUGCUGCAUGGCUGUCGUCAGCUCGUGUUGUGAAAUGUUGGGUUAAGUCCCGCAACGAGCGCAACCCUUAUCCUUUGUUGCCAGCGAUUCGGUCGGGAACUCAAAGGAGACUGCCAGUGAUAAACUGGAGGAAGGUGGGGAUGACGUCAAGUCAUCAUGGCCCUUACGAGUAGGGCUACACACGUGCUACAAUGGUGCAUACAGAGGGCGACGAAGCCGCGAGGU
rnacentral:rRNA from 1 species